GCUGGCCCUCUUUUGAAGGAGAGGAGAGCUUCUGUAAUGUGACUAAUGUAAACUCCAAAAUCCUCCCAAGGUAAUCCAUAUCCAUGUUACCUGACUUGAGUACCUGGGAAAGAAAGUCUAUGUCAAAGGCUUCAGUUAUCUGCUGUUUCCAGCUCUCUGGAGCCAUAUUGCAAAGUUCAUCGUGGACCUCUCUCACAAGCUGAACCACCCGAUCGUAGUUAGGCUCUUCCUGUUUCAAGGAUUCCAUGACACCAUCCCAGAAUGCCUUCUGCAUUGUUUCUCUCAUCUUUACCUGAAUGCCAUUUUGAUCUUCUUCAAUAAUGCCCAAACUGUCAGAAAAAGGAUGUUGCUGGUGGAGAAACUCAUUUACCAAAAAUUCAUUUUCAGUGGUCAAGUCUCCAAUAGACCCUAACUGGCCUCCG
rnacentral:misc_RNA from 1 species